UGAGCCAAGUUUAGGGUUUUCUCAAAACCCAAGCAGUAUUGAACUGAAGAGUUUGAUCAUGGCUCAGAUUGAACGCUGGCGGCAGGCCUAACACAUGCAAGUCGAGCGGAUGAAGGGAGCUUGCUCCUGGAUUCAGCGGCGGAC
rnacentral:rRNA from 1 species